ensembl:snRNA U6 U6 spliceosomal RNA
GUGCUUGCUUCAGCAGCACAGAGACUAAAAUUGAAACAAUAGAGAAAACAUUAGCUUGGCCCCUGCACAAGAAUGACACACCAAUUCCUGAAGUGUUCCAUAUGUUU